rnacentral:rRNA from 1 species
ACGGGUGAGUAAUGUCUGGGGAUCUGCCCGAUAGAGGGGGAUAACCACUGGAAACGGUGGCUAAUACCGCAUAACGUCGCAAGACCAAAGAGGGGAACCUUCGGGCCUCUCACUAUCGGAUAAACCCAGAUGGGAUUAGCUAGUAGGCGGGGUAACGGCCCACCUAGGCGACGAUCCCUAGCUGGUCUGAGAGGAUGACCAGCCACACUGGAACUGAGACACGGUCCAGACUCCUACGGGAGGCAGCAGUGGGGAAUAUUGCACAAUGGGCGCAAGCCUGAUGCAGCCAUGCCGCGUGUAUGAAGAAGGCCUUCGGGUUGUAAAGUACUUUCAGCGGGGAGGAAGGCGAUGUGGUUAAUAACCGCGUCGAUUGACGUUACCCGCAGAAGAAGCACCGGCUAACUCCGUGCCAGCAGCCGCGGUAAUACGGAGGGUGCAAGCGUUAAUCGGAAUUACUGGGCGUAAAGCGCACGCAGGCGGUCUGUUAAGUCAGAUGUGAAAUCCCCGGGCUUAACCUGGGAACUGCAUUUGAAACUGGCAGGCUUGAGUCUCGUAGAGGGGGGUAGAAUUCCAGGUGUA